rnacentral:rRNA from 1 species
UACGGAGGGGGCUAGCGUUGUUCGGAAUUACUGGGCGUAAAGCGUACGUAGGUGGCUUUGUAAGUUAGAGGUGAAAGCCCGGGGCUCAAUCCCGGAAUUGCCCUUAAGACUGCAUCGCUAGAAUUGUGGAGAGGUGAGUAGAAUUCCGAGUGUAGAGGUGAAAUUCGUAGAUAUUCGGAAGAACACCAGUGGCGAGGGCGACUCACUGGACACAUAUUGACACUGAGGUGCGAAAGCGUGGGGAGCAAACAGG